rnacentral:rRNA from 1 species
CCUUUUGUAUAAUGGGUCAGCGACUUAUAUUCUGUAGCAAGGUUAACCGAAUAGGGGAGCCGAAGGGAAACCGAGUCUUAACUGGGCGUUAAGUUGCAGGGUAUAGACCCGAAACCCGGUGAUCUAGCCAUGGGCAGGUUGAAGGUUGGGUAACACUAACUGGAGGACCGAACCGACUAAUGUUGAAAAAUUAGCGGAUGACUUGUGGCUGGGGGUGAAAGGCCAAUCAAACCGGGAGAUAGCUGGUUCUCCCCGAAAGCUAUUUAGGUAGCGCCUCGUGAAUUCAUCUCCGGGGGUAGAGCACUGUUUCGGCAAGGGGGUCAUCCCGACUUACCAACCCGAUGCAAACUGCGAAUACCGGAGAAUGUUAUCACGGGAGACACACGGCGGGUGCUAACGUCCGUCGUGAAGAGGGAAACAACCCAGACCGCCAGCUAAGGUCCCAAAGUCAUGGUUAAGUGGGAAACGAUGUGGGAAGGCCCAGACAGCCAGGAUGUUGGCUUAGAAGCAGCCAUCAUUUAAAGAAAGCGUAAUAGCUCACUGGUCGAGUCGGCCUGCGCGGAAGAUGUAACGGGGCUAAACCAUGCACCGAAGCUGCGGCAGCGACGCUAUGCGUUGUUGGGUAGGGGAGCGUUCUGUAAGCCUGUGAAGGUGUGCUGUGAGGCAUGCUGGAGGUAUCAGAAGUGCGAAUGCUGACAUAAGUAACGAUAAAGCGGGUGAAAAGCCCGCUCGCCGGAAGACCAAGGGUUCCUGUCCAACGUUAAUCGGGGCAGGGUGAGUCGACCCCUAAGGCGAGGCCGAAAGGCGUAGUCGAUGGGAAACAGGUUAAUAUUCCUGUACUUGGUGUUACUGCGAAGGGGGGACGGAGAAGGCUAUGUUGGCCGGGCGACGGUUGUCCCGGUUUAAGCGUGUAGGCUGGUUUUCCAGGCAAAUCCGGAAAAUCAAGGCUGAGGCGUGAUGACGAGGCACUACGGUGCUGAAGCAACAAAUGCCCUGCUUCCAGGAAAAGCCUCUAAGCAUCAGGUAACAUCAAAUCGUACCCCAAACCGACACAGGUGGUCAGGUAGAGAAUACCAAGGCGCUUGAGAGAACUCGGGUGAAGGAACUAGGCAAAAUGGUGCCGUAACUUCGGGAGAAGGCACGCUGAUAUGUAGGUGAAGUCCCUCGCGGAUGGAGCUGAAAUCAGUCGAAGAUACCAGCUGGCUGCAACUGUUUAUUAAAAACACAGCACUGUGCAAACACGAAAGUGGACGUAUACGGUGUGACGCCUGCCCGGUGCCGGAAGGUUAAUUGAUGGGGUCAGCGCAAGCGAAGCUCUUGAUCGAAGCCCCGGUAAACGGCGGCCGUAACUAUAACGGUCCUAAGGUAGCGAAAUUCCUUGUCGGGUAAGUUCCGACCUGCACGAAUGGCGUAAUGAUGGCCAGGCUGUCUCCACCCGAGACUCAGUGAAAUUGAACUCGCUGUGAAGAUGCAGUGUACCCGCGGCAAGACGGAAAGACCCCGUGAACCUUUACUAUAGCUUGACACUGAACAUUGAGCCUUGAUGUGUAGGAUAGGUGGGAGGCUUAGAAGUGUGGACGCCAGUCUGCAUGGAGCCGACCUUGAAAUACCACCCUUUAAUGUUUGAUGUUCUAACGUUGACCCGUAAUCCGGGUUGCGGACAGUGUCUGGUGGGUAGUUUGACUGGGGCGGUCUCCUCCUAAAGAGUAACGGAGGAGCACGAAGGUUGGCUAAUCCUGGUCGGACAUCAGGAGGUUAGUGCAAUGGCAUAAGCCAGCUUGACUGCGAGCGUGACGGCGCGAGCAGGUGCGAAAGCAGGUCAUAGUGAUCCGGUGGUUCUGAAUGGAAGGGCCAUCGCUCAACGGAUAAAAGGUACUCCGGGGAUAACAGGCUGAUACCGCCCAAGAGUUCAUAUCGACGGCGGUGUUUGGCACCUCGAUGUCGGCUCAUCACAUCCUGGGGCUGAAGUAGGUCCCAAGGGUAUGGCUGUUCGCCAUUUAAAGUGGUACGCGAGCUGGGUUUAGAACGUCGUGAGACAGUUCGGUCCCUAUCUGCCGUGGGCGCUGGAGAACUGAGGGGGGCUGCUCCUAGUACGAGAGGACCGGAGUGGACGCAUCACUGGUGUUCGGGUUGUCAUGCCAAUGGCACUGCCCGGUAGCUAAAUGCGGAAGAGAUAAGUGCUGAAAGCAUCUAAGCACGAAACUUGCCCCGAGAUGAGUUCUCCCUGACUCCUUGAGAGUCCUGAAGGAACGUUGAAGACGACGACGUUGAUAGGCCGGGUGUGUAAGCGCAGCGAUGCGUUGAGCUAACCGGUACUAAUGAACCGUGAGGCUUAACCU